UACGUAGGGGGCCAGCGUUGCUCGGAAUUACUGGGCGUAAAGGGUUCGUAGGUGGUGCGGCAAGUUGGGAGUGAAAUCUCUGGGCUUAACUCAGAGGCUGCUUUCAAAACUGCCGCGCUCGAGUGCGAGAGAGGUCAGUGGAAUUGCAGGUGUAGCGGUGAAAUGCGUAGAUAUCUGCAGGAACACCCGUGGCGAAGGCGGCUGACUGGAUCGCAACUGACGCUCAUGCACGACAGCGUGGGGAUCAAACAGG
rnacentral:rRNA from 1 species